rnacentral:rRNA from 11 species
GAAUAGGUCUAGGUACCCUGUAGGCACCAGAUCCUAUCUGAUCUUGAAAACAAGACAGGGUCACCCCUGGUUAGUAACUGGAUGGGAAACUCUCAGUGAAAAUCAGAUGUUAUAUAUU